UACGUAGGGUGCAAGCGUUGUCCGGAAUUAUUGGGCGUAAAGAGCUCGUAGGCGGUUUGUCGCGUCUGCUGUGAAAACUCGAGGCUCAACCUCGGGCUGUCGGCGGAAACCAUCUGGCUAGAGUCCGGAAGAGGAGAAUGGAAUUCCCGGUGUAGCGGUGAAAUGCGCAGAUAUCGGGAAGAACACCCGUGGCGAAGGCGGUUCUCUGGGACGGUACUGACGCUGAGACGCGAAAGCGUGGGGAGCGAACAGG
rnacentral:rRNA from 1 species